UACGGAGGGUGCUAGCGUUGUUCGGAAUCACUGGGCGUAAAGCGUCUGUAGGCGGCUUUGUAAGUCGGGUGUGAAAGCCCCAGGCUCAACCUGGGAAGUGCAUUCGAUACUGCUUAGCUUGAAUGUUGGAGAGGAUAGUAGAAUUCCAGGUGUAGUGGUGAAAUACGUAGAUAUCUGGAGGAAUACCGGUGGCGAAGGCGGCUAUCUGGCCAAACAUUGACGCUGAGAGACGAAGUGCGGGGAGUCAAACAGG
rnacentral:rRNA from 1 species